AAGUGAUGAAGAUGAUUUCUAUGAUGCUGAGAUACUGGACGAAAUGACAACCCACAGAGGCGAGCUGAAGCUUAGAACUUUAAGCUUCAAGGAAGACAAAAUAUCUCAGGUACAUCCACAGGAUGAUGCCGGUCGAAGACAAUGAGACCUUGCAAUUAGGAUAUGGAAAGAGCUCCUCAUUACAUUGAAGAUGGUUAUCAUUAUAUCCUCUGCUUGAGAGGCAAAUUGGGUUUAAAACAAGAAGACCCUGCAGGGAAGUACUGAAGCAUACAUGAUCAAAUAUAAUUCAUACAAAUAUAGAAGGGCAAUUCUGGAAAGAGAGCUGAGAAAAUAAGGAUAUCGAGACAAAGGGAUAGAAGGAAGAGCUUUUAAAUUUAAAAUCUUGUUCAGGUUUUCUGAGUAGGUUAAGAGCAUUUAGAUGAUUAAUAGCUUGUUGUAAUAGCCCUUUUCUAUCCUCU
rnacentral:misc_RNA from 1 species